CGUCUAUAUACGUAUAGCAUAUCAAUAAGCGGAGGAAAAGAAACUAACUAGGAUUCCCUUAGUAACGGCGAGUGAAGCGGGAAGAGCUCAAAUUUGAAAUCUUCAAGGUUCUACCUUGACGAAUUGUAGUUUAUAGAAGUGUUUUCUGUUAGUGAGUUGGCUAAAAGUUCUUUGGAAUAGGACAUCAUAGAGGGUGAGAAUCCCGUAUUUGAUCAUUACCUCCUAGCGUUGUGAUACACUUUCAACGAGUCGGAUUGUUUGGGAAUGCAGUCCAAAAUGGGUGGUAAAUUUCAUCUAAAGCUAAAUAUUGGCGAGAGACCGAUAGCGAACAAGUACCGUGAGGGAAAGAUGAAAAGAACUUUGAAAAGAGAGUUAAACAGUACGUGAAAUUGUCAAAAGGGAAGCGUUUGACACCAGUGUUGUUUUUCCGAAAAUCAAUUACGAAUGGUUUGAUUUUUGAGUAGUUAUGACUUCAUCAGCUUGCUGCACUUUCUUUACGAGACUUUCUUAAUGCACUUUUCGGUUAACAAGUCAACAUCAAUUUCUUUUGUUGUAAAAGAGUAUUAGGAAGGUGGCUUUCUUUUCGGAGAAAGUGUUUAUAGCCUUAUGCCUCUACAAUCGGAGAGAUUGAGGUCUGCAGCGUAGAUCCUUCGGGGUUAGAUACACUUUGUGCUAAGUUAGUAGCUUUUCAUAGACAACUUGUUGACUAUGUUUAGUCAUUGUAGGCUUACUCGCUGACGCUAUUUUACCUACGCUUAGGAUGUUGACUGAUAUGUAGUCGUA
rnacentral:rRNA from 1 species